CGUCUGAGAAACAAACAAAAACAGCCAAAACUUUCAACAACGGAUCUCUUGGUCUGGCAUCGAUGAAGAACGCAGCGAAAUGCGAUACGUAAUGCGAAUUGCAGAUUCAGCGAGUCAUCGAAUCUUUGAACGCACAUUGCGCCCGCCAGCAUUCUGGCGGGCAUGCCUGUCCGAGCGUCAUUUCCCCCCUCAGC
rnacentral:rRNA from 1 species